AAAUCACCGUUCCUGAAUGGAAUGCUAAAAGCCUGGAAUUUUCUGCCGCUAGGUGGCAGAUGGAUAGCUCAUUCAGUUGUAUCUAAUUUUCAACCAACAUGGUCUCCACGUACGUACGGAGAGGUCCGUACCAGAAAACGGCACCAUUUCCAGGGUUUUUAUUGGCUCAGUGGGAUGGUCACGUGACCAUCCUUUCAAGCCACGCAGUGGUGGAUAGGCCCCGAAAUUUCAGCAGCCGCCGUCGCAUUUGAAUCGGCAAUUGUUUUUUUUUCCUCGUUUGUUGUCAUUUUCGUUUUUAAUGGCGGCCUGCUGUCAUUUAAAAUGAAUAAAUAUAUUACUUUUAGAAAAGGGCCGACCUCUCGUGAAGAGAACGAUGGAAUUUAUAGAUUCGGCUGGGAAACUUGUCGAGAAAGCUUUUUUGCUUUUUUAGAUAAACUGACACGAGAGUUUGGUACCUUCUCAAACAGGCAUAAUUUCAAUCUAAUUAAUUGUAUCUGAGAUUUUUUUACCAGAUUUUUUUACUAACAGGGAGCCCUCACUUUUUGCCGUAGCAAAACUGUUGGCAACUGGUCUUGUAAAUCUGAACAGGGUAGAAGUUCUUUAGCAUCCUGUAACAAAUCACCUGCUGGAAGUCAUCAUCCACACCCAUACUGCCCUCUUCGCUUUAUUGUUUUCGAUGAGUGACAAAACAGAGAAAAAAGAAUCCGAACACGGAUUUCAUCAACGAUGCAAUUUCUGAUAAAUCUUUUUCACGACGUGGUCCGGCUAGCGACGUGCACGGGACCUAUUUAGUUCGUAUAAUGUAAU